GGAGAGGUACUUAGUGGAGAAGCGUAAAUGAAUUUUAGGUUUCGAGGGUUCAAGUCCCUUCCUCUCUUU
rnacentral:tRNA from 1 species